CAAGCCUUUACCAUUUUCUUUACUGAAAACCCUAAAUUUUCACCCUCCAUUGAAAACCCUAACUUUUGGAAGACAAGAAAGAAGGGAGAAAGAAGGGAUCCACCGUUCUUAGAGAGAAAGAAGAGAAGAGAAAAAUGCAGGUUUUCUUUUCAUCUUGCCCAGAUUACAUCAAAGGUCUGAUCCCACUUCGUCCAUGGUCCGAUCGAGCUAAAAUUUGGAGGAAAGUUUCAUGACUCAUUCAUCUUCAAUCUGAACGGUGAGGAUCGGAUUUGGAGUUUUGGAAAGUCAUUAGAAAGAAAGAGGAGAAGAGAGAAAAACGUAGGUUUUUCUCAUCAUACCCAGAUUUCAUCAAAUUUCCGAUGCCGCUUUGUCCGUGGUCGGAUCGAGUUGAAAUUUGGAGGAGGGGUUCGUGGCUCAUGUAUCUUCAAUAUGAAUGGUGGAGAUUGGAUUUGGAGUUUCGGACAGUCAUUAGAGAGAAAGAGGAGAAGAGAGAAAAACGCAGGUUUUUUAUAUCAUGCCCAGAUUUCAUCAAAGGUACGAUGCCACUUUAUCCAUGGUCUGAUCGAGCUGAAAUUUGGAGGAGAGGUUCACAACUCAUUAAUCUUCAAUUUGAACGGUGAAGAUCGGAUUUAGAGUUUUGGAAAGUCAUCUUUUGGCCAAAAAUAGAACCUUUGUUUUGGUGGGCUUUUCUCUCCGAACUGUUUUGAUCAUUAGCUUUGAUCGAGGUCAAUUCGUGGUCCGAUUGAGUUGCAAUUUUAGGAGCACGUUUAGGACGCAUUGAUCUUCAUUCUAACAGUGGAGAUUGGAUUUGGAGUUUGGAAAAAUGGUAUUUCAGUCCGAGAACCUUGACAAAAGUGAAAGAAACAUUGACAUAUGUCAUAGUAACAAAGAUUUGAUCAUUGGUAGAAAUAGAAACAACCUUGACAUAUGUAAAUGUCAAGGUAGAUUUAAACUUUUCUUGACACUGGCAUAGAUGACAUAUAUAAAUAGUAACAUACCUUGACAGAUAUACCCUACCUUGAUGGUGAAAAACUGUCAACGAAAGGCUUUUUUCUUGUAGUGCUACCAUGUGUGUCUAAACCAUAUCUAAUUUCCUUGGUUGAAAGAUGAUGUUACAGAAGUGGGCAAUAUAAUUCAUUCCCUGUUAAGCAGCUUUGUUUCCACACUUAGAAGUUCUGCUUUUAGAUUGCCUGAGUUUAUCAUGAGCAUCAAAAGAGAAACUAGUCAAGAGCCAUGUGAAAUAUUUGAUACACAGGUAGAGUUAAGUUGUAUUCAAGUUGACUUGCAUAACUCACUAAGUUAAGCAUUAAUCUGGCAUCUUUAUGAUCUACUUAACCUCUUUAAAAUUACAAAAAUUACAAUCUAACUUGUUUUUCCAAAUGAUUAUAAAAAAAUGAAACAAAAGAAUAUAAAUUAUUGUUGCAGAAAUUGGAGGCCUCAAUGCCUAUGUAUCAGGCCCUUCUGAUUCGAAGCUUGCUAUUCUACUUGGUUUGGACGUUUAUGGUGGCCACCUAGUCCGUUAUUUCUCUUCCACUUUGAAAAUUCCCUGUUGGAUCUCAUGGUUUUCUGUUUCUUUCCAUAUUCAUUUUAUUAUUCGAACUAUUAUGCAGGGAAUGAAGCCACCAAAUCUUAGGAUAAAGGUUUUGAAGAUGGAAAACCGAUAAUUGAAAAACUGAGAAGUAAAGGCAUAAUUGCAAUUGGAGUAGCAAGAUUCUACCUGGGUGGUCAGAAUGGAUACACACAUUGAGAGAAAGUGGGAUGAGAAGCAUGAAUGAUGACCUUUUUGGUUGUCCUAUAUAUGUUUUAUAUUUUCUGUCUUAAGGACAAGAUGACUCAAUUCUGUUUCUUGUAACAUUUGUAGAUGAAUGUUUAGUCAUGAUGUGAAGCCCACUGCCAUUCGAGUUGUUCUUA